rnacentral:ncRNA from 1 species
AAAGCCGGGCUAUGGUGCCAAAGUGCGCGCUAACCCAGAUCCCACAAAGGGUGUUGAUUGAUUAAGACAGCAGGACGGUGGUCAUGGAAGUCAAAAUCCGCUAAGGAGUGUGUAACAACUCACCUGCCGAAUCAACUAGCCCCGAAAAUGGAUGGCGCUUAAGCGCGCGGCCUAUGCCCGGCCAUCGCGGCGAUUGCGAGGCCCCGAUG